UCAAGAGCUCUCCUUCCCCACAUAUCUCCAAAAAAAAGAAUGAAAUAAAAAGAAUAAGAAGCAAAAAGAACAAAAUAAAUGAUCAAUCUAUGUAGAUAAAGGUUUUACCUUCUAAUCAGCCGAUGGAGAGGAGCUAAGGGAGCCCACCCAUGGAUGGGAGGUAGGGGAGCUGAGGGAGAGGGAGAGAGACAAAGAGAGGGAGAGAUCGAUCGUCUGUCCGCCCGCAUGAGAGAGAGUAAGAGGAGCUGAAACCCGAUCGCAGGGUUUUAAGAU
rnacentral:lncRNA from 1 species